UUAGGAUGAGCCUCCUGGUGGAGGAGAGUGCUCCUGCCUCUCCUGCCUCUCUUUAUGGAUUGUAUGUCAAGGAGACACCCGCAAGGACUCUGGUGGCCUGGACAUACUUCUGGAAGACUGACUCUUCCAGACUGAUGAAACCAAAGGACUGGACAGUGUUGAAUCCUUGGGGGGAAGAAAAACCAACACUUUUUUUUUAAGCUGACAGCACAUUCCAUCCACUCGGCAAUGUAGAACUAAUGAAGAUAUAAGUGUUGAGAUGUUUCCCAAAAUGCCUCACAAAUAUUCUGGGAUGUCACCUUUUGCAAUGGAUCUGCAGGUUCCAUCGUGCCCUAGCUUUUUGCCUGAGGGGAGGCUCUGGCCAUGGGUCCCUUUUCAGGUCAGCAAGAGUGCCGUGCAGAGCAGGAGCCCCAUCCAAUGCUCUACAGCUCUGGACUCCUGCCAAUCCUCCCUUGGCCAAGGCCUCCAGAAGUCAGAGAGCGAGGGAACAUAUGAACUAUCUAUCCUGGUCUACUGUCAAUCUCCUUCCACUGAAAUAUCAGCUCCACAAGGCUAGUGGUGUCAUGGAUUUGCUCACUGCUGUAGGUGCCUAGUGAAUAUUUGCUGGAAAUGGAAUACAUGGAUAGGCUUGGAGCUAACUAGAAAAAGCUUGAAAAGUUCUUUGGAAGUGGAAACCGUUUCAGAAGACCUGGAGUCUUUCUCAUCAUGGUAGUCUGCAGACCCAAUCAAUCUAUGAGAAACCCAGCAGUUCCACCUCACUGCUGCACACUGAUUCCAUUACCCAGGGCUUCUGGAGGUCUUCAUUCAUCAAGGCCUGUCUGCUCUCACUGAGUGCGCUACUUUACCCCAAUGUUAUCACAGACAACCAGGACUAUAUUAAACUUGUCAAAGUAAGAGUCUUUUAGAGGGAUGGAACAUCCUGAACUUUUUUUUCAAAUGGAGACAUUUUCCUGUUUCUUGAGUGUGUUAAGAGGGACAGGGGUCCCCCACCUUUAGUUUUUGGCCAUAACAGAAAAAAAAUUUUGAUAAAGAUCAGAUAUUAUUAUUACCAUUUAAAUAUUUACCUAUGAAAUUUAGUGAGUGGCAAUGAAACUUCUUGGCAUUUAAUUUUUUUGAUGUUCUGCCAUUGGGAACUUAUCUUUGCAACACUUUUUGUUAAGAGAUGUCAUGAUUCUGGGUUGGAGGAAGAUAGGAAUAUCUAAAAUGCUAUGUCAUGGUUCAAUUGUACAGAAAAAAAUAAGGUAAACAUGAAAAGAAAAUCCAUUUGACCAUGGUGUUUGUGGCUAUUUCCUUCUGGCAUCUCAAGGGUUGCGAUGUAAGGUACUUAAAUCAACAGCCA
rnacentral:lncRNA from 1 species